UCCCCCAUGACAACAAAUUCCAAUCGUGUUGCAACAGUGCGAUUGAGCCGACGUCAUGGGAAAGCAUUGAUUCUGACUAUUUGAUCCCACUUCCACUACCAUUAGUGAUUGUGGUUUGCACGUAGUCCACAU
rnacentral:snoRNA from 1 species